AAGACCGUCGCGGGGAGGGACCGACAUA
rnacentral:sRNA from 1 species